AAGGCUUUAGCUUAAUUAAAGUAUCUGUUUUGCAUGCAGAAGAUGUGGGUUAGUCUCCCGCAGGCCUUA
rnacentral:tRNA from 1 species